rnacentral:sRNA from 1 species
GCCAGGUGCGGUGGCUCAUGCCUGUAAUCCCAGCACUUUGGGAGGCCAAGGCGGGAGAACUGUUUGAGCCCAGGAGUUUGAGGCCAGCCUGGGCAACAUAGUGAGACCCUAUCUCUAUUUCAAAUACAUUUUUUAUAUUAAAAAAAGUUCUUCAAUUAGAUGGUAAUUAUUUUUAAAAAUGGCCAGGUGCAGAGGCUCAUGCCUGUAAUCCCAGCACCUUGGGAGGCUGAGGUGGGAAGAUCCCUUGAGCCCAGGAGGUUUGGGACCAGCCUGGGCCAUACAGCAAGACCCUGUCUCU